GCAGCAUCUAUUGCAUCCAAUGAAAAAUAAGGGUAUAGACUUAUGGGCAACCAAUCUCUCAUAGACGUCGUCCAUUGCAUCCGAUCACCGUCUGCCAACUUCAGCCAUUCGCCCUAGCUGUCGCCGCCACCCUUCAGUAAACCCAUCCGCUGCCCACUAAUCGUUAGUACGGUGCACCACCGCUCUCUCUCUCUCUCUCUCUCUCUCUCUAAAUCACACCGCACCGUGCUGUUCCGCCAGCUGCUCGCUACCACCAUCGAUGCUACCAGCCACCGCGCGCACAUUUGGCCGCCGCCUGCAAUCGCGUCGUCGUCGAUUGUCUUCAUCAGAGUUGGUUUUUGGGUAAGGUUUUGGUUGGGUUCGAAGUUUGGAGGGCAUCGAAGUUGUUGUCCAGCAGGUUCAGGAUUAGUUUCGAUAAGAUUCCGUAAGUAUGUGAGGUUUAUCUUGAAUACUCAUUUAAUGUUGGUUUAAUUCAUCGGUGCCCAUAAUAUUUUGGAGGUUAGGUUGGCAAUUUAGAGCGUUUAGAGCUGCUGUCCAACAAUUUCAAGGGUGUUUCAAUAAGUUUUCGGUGAGUAUUGGCGGCCCAAAAUUCGUAGAUAUUCAUUAUGGCUGCUGUAAUUUUGGGUUUAAGAUCCUUACAUGUGGUCUAUGUUUAAGAUGGAGUUCUCAAUUGAAUUUUGAAGUGGUGUUGGUUCAAGUCAUACUUUGGGUAGGCGUUUAUUUGAAACUUUAAAGUAAUUGUGUGAUAGUCCAAAAAUAUGGGAUUAAAUUUUGGAGUUUAUGUCUUAAAUCUCGUGUAUCUUGUGGUUUGUAAAGACAAAUUACAUAUCUAAUAAAAUAAGAGGUAUUUUAUUGA